rnacentral:rRNA from 1 species
UGGGGAAUAUUGGACAAUGGGGGAAACCCUGAUCCAGCAAUGCCGCGUGUGUGAAGAAGGUCUUCGGAUUGUAAAGCACUUUUGGCAGGGACGAUGAUGACGGUACCUGCAGAAUAAGCCCCGGCUAACUUCGUGCCAGCAGCCGCGGUAAUACGAAGGGGGCUAGCGUUGCUCGGAAUGACUGGGCGUAAAGGGCGCGUAGGCGGCUCACACAGUCAGAAGUGAAAUUCCUGGGCUCAACCUGGGGACUGCUUUUGAUACGUGUGGGCUAGAGUGAGGAAGAGGGUUGUGGAAUUUCCAGUGUAGAGGUGAAAUUCGUAGAUAUUGGAAAGAACACCGGUGGCGAAGGCGGCAACCUGGUCCUUUACUGACGCUGAGGCGCGAAAGCGUGGGGAGCAAACAGGAUUAGAUACCCGUGUAGUCC